rnacentral:rRNA from 1 species
GUGAUGACGAGUUUGAUCCUGGCUCAGGAUCAACGCUGGCGGCGUGCCUAAUGCAUGCAAGUCGCACGAACGUCCUUCGGGGCGUUAGUGGCGAACGGCUGAGGAACACGUGCGUACCUGCCUGUUCG